rnacentral:rRNA from 1 species
ACAUACGACCAUAGGGUGUGGAGAACAGGGCUUCCCGUCCGCUCAGCCGUACUUAAGCCACACGCCGGUAGGUUAGUAGUAUGGUGGGUGACCACAUGCGAAUCCCUACUGUUGUAUGUC